UACGGGGGGGGCGAGCGUUGUUCGGAAUUACUGGGCGUAAAGGGCGCGUAGGCGGUUUCAGAAGUUUUGGGUGAAAGCCCCCGGCUCAACCGGGGAAGUGCCUGGAAAACCAUGGGACUGGAGUGCUGGAGAGGCAAGCGGAAUUUCUGGUGUAGCGGUGAAAUGCGUAGAUAUCAGAAGGAACAUCCGAGGCGAAGGCGGCUUGCUGGACAGACACUGACGCUGAGGCGCGAAAGCUAGGGGAGCAAACGGG
rnacentral:rRNA from 1 species